rnacentral:tRNA from 1 species
GCGGGUAUAGCUCAGAGGCAGAGCAACCGGCUUUUAACCGGUAGGCCGAGAUUUCGAAAUUCUCUGCCCGCACCAC